rfam:Aedes albopictus isolate Foshan contig53118, whole genome shotgun sequence.
UGCCCAGCAACUCCUAUCCCUACCUCCACGCGGUACCGGCCGGAAACUAUGAGCAACCUUAGGGAAGAUCGGGUAACCAACCCCGGUGGGAACUUUGGUCGUAGGCUGACAGGAAAGG